ACUUAAUUCAACAUCGAGGUCGCAAUCCUAAUUAUUGAUAAGAACUCGUUAAUUAAAUAACGCUGUUAACCCUAGAGUAACUUAAUCUAACUAUAUCUAUAUAUAUAUAUAAAAAUUUAUACCUUCAUUUAUUACCCCAAUAAAAAAAUUUUUCAUUUCAAAAAGCUUCUAGGGUCUUCUCGUCCCAAAGAUGUAUAAAAACAUUCUUAUUUUUAAUUUAAAUUCAAACUCAUUAAACAAAACAUUCCUAUCAGUAUCUACCCUUCAUACCAGUCCACAAUUAAUAAA
rnacentral:rRNA from 1 species